CCUACGGGCGGCAGCAGUGAGGAAUAUUGGUCAAUGGGCGGAAGCCUGAACCAGCCAAGUAGCGUGCGGGAUGAAGGCCCUACGGGUCGUAAACCGCUUUUGCACGGGGAUAACACCCUCCACUUGUGGAGGUCUGCAGGUACCGUGCGAAUAAGGGCCGGCUAAUUCCGUGCCAGCAGCCGCGGUAAUACGGAAGGCCCGAGCGUUAUCCGGAUUCAUUGGGCUUAAAGGGAGCGUAGGCGGGCGUUCAAGUCAGCGGUAAAAUCGCGCGGCUCAACCGCGCCCCGCAGUUGAAACUGGACGCAUUGAGUACGCAAGAGGCAGGCGGAAUUCGUGGUGUAGCGGUGAAAUGCAUAGAUAUCACGAGGAACCCCGAUUGCGAAGGCAGCCUGCCGGGGUGCGACUGACGCUGAGGCUCGAAGGUGCGGGUAUCAAACAGGAUUAGAUACCCCUGUAGUC
rnacentral:rRNA from 1 species